rnacentral:lncRNA from 1 species
AUGGAUGACGAGAAAAGGAGAGGUAUAACUAACUUCUUGACCACAAAACACCUCACAAUGAGUUGGGGAGAGGUAAUGAUAACGCACUGGGGAAGCGCUAGGAGAGAAGAAUUACUUACAGGGAGGGGUAGGUGCCCCUUCUCCUUUUUCGGGAAGGAGACAUUUAGUUGUGCAGACUUUUGGAAGAUGAGCUACCUACCCCGGCCUUUAGUCUUAGGUCAGUCGGAGCAGAGAAACGCUCCCCUCCACUCUCGCCCGAGAAGCCGCGCAGCAACUGCGUCUGCGCACGUCCUCAAGCCCGCCUUUUCCGGCCGGCUCCUGUGGGCGUGGCGGCGCUGGCAAGAUGGCGGCGCCCGAGAAUAUGCUGUUUUCGGAGAAGCUGAGCCACAAAAAGUACAGGGCCGCCCUGAAGAAGGAGAAACGAAAGAAACGGCGACAGGAACUCGCUCGACUGAGAGACUCUGGUGCAGGCAUCAUGAAUUACAGCAGCUAGCACAGCCUUUGCACAUAGUAAGUAUUCGGCGAAUAUUUUUCUUUGUAAAACCAGCAGGAUUUGAGGGGUUUAGACAUUUUGCAAGUUUUUCUCAAACUACACUAACGUGAGAGACCCCUUGUUGAUCUUAUUUAAAUACAUACAGAUGAAAUUAAUUAUGAAACUUACUUGGUUUUUGGUUUGGCCGCACUGCGUGGCAUGUGGGGUGUUAGUUUCCGCACCAGGGAUGGACCCCAUGUCCCCUGCAGUGGAAAUGCGGAGUCUUAACCACUCGACCGCCAUCCCUAUAUCUACAUUUAUGUAAUGUUAGGGAUGAUGGGAAACAUAUGCACAGGACAUUAAUAUGGUACUGAGUGAAGUUUGGAAUGCUACUACUACUAUUGCCAUGUGGUUAUUUAUCACUUUUUCUUCCUAUUAAAAUACUGUGGGAACCUUCAUCUGUACUGGCGGUGGUGUCGUUUGGCCCUCACAUGGCAGAAUCUAAUGUUUAUUUAUUAAACCUACCUGUUUAAUGACCUUAGUUGUAAAGUUAUAUCGUAGUAAUAAAUGCACAUGGAAGCACUGAAAUCA